GACCUGAGCCCUAGGACCAUGCCUCAGGACUACCUGGCAUGAUGACUCCUUGCUGUCCCCAGUCCACCUGGCCGUGCUGCUGCUCCAGUUUCAACUGUUCUGCCUGCGGCUAUGGAACCCUGACCUGUUCACCGGACGUGCUUGUUGCACCCUCGACAACUACUAUGAUUAUUAUUAUUUGACCAUGCUGGUCAUUUAUGAACAUUUUAACAUCUUGACCAUGUUCUGUUAUAAUAUCCACCCUGCACAGCCAGAAGAGGACUGGCCACCCCUCAUAGCCUGGUUCCUCUCUAGGGAGUUUUUCCUAGGGAGUUUUUCCUAGCCACCGUGCUUCUUUCACAUGCAUUGCUUGCUGUUUGGGGUUUUAGGCUGGGUUUCUGUACAGCACUUUGAGAUAUCAGCUGAUGUACGAAGGGCUAUAUAAAUACAUUUGAUUUGAUUUGAUUUAGGUAGAUGCGGUAUGUCCUGUAUAACACAAACUCACUUCCUUGAAAACAACUCUGCGCUGCUCUGCGGAGCGCAAGAAGUAUGUAUGCCCUGACUUCUGCAGAGGCUGUGUCAUCAUAAAUGCUGCAUGGCCAAUGCAGACGGAAUGACCAUGCAGCGAGUUUUACUCUUAACCUAUUCCUUACCCUAAACCUAAACCCUAAGCCUAAAAUAGCCGUUUUCCUUGUGGGGACCAGCGAAAUGUCUCCACUUGUCCAAAUGUUCCUUGUUUUACUACCAAAAACACACACACACACACACACUGCUGCUAUAACUAAGUGUGUCAAUCUCCUUCACUUUCUCAUGCAUCCUUUCCGUACAAAGCGCCAUGGACAAAUAUGCCAGUGUUGUAACUCUAUCAGAAGUAACCUACCAUGUCGACCUAUAAUGCACUUUAUCAGGGGUGAAUAACAAUGCACUCUUUCAUGAGAAUGAACUGCAAAGAGUAACGUUUUUCAGAAGUUUGAAAGAAGACACUGGGCGCGUUCCUCUGCUGAGAUGUUGCUGACGCCUGCCAGAUCUCACAACACCUGGAUGUUUUGAAUAUGUUAAG
rnacentral:lncRNA from 1 species